GGGUAGAUCAGCUGAAGAGUUUCUGAGGAACAGUAGAAAACCGGGUGCUGAAGUCUGUGCGCUGCACAUCAGGCAGUCCCGGGAGAAGGAGUUGAGAACUCUUAUAAGAGGAAAAGUGAUGUCUUCAAAGACCUUGCUACACUGCUGAAAAACUAGUCUCUGCACUUUACUGAGGCUAUAAACGAACAGGACUUUGCCAGUCAAGAAGUACCAUCAACUGAAAAGAUCCUACACGUGGAAGCAGUUGAUUUGGAGGAAACAGGCCAAACCCUGAAGUCUUACGAUCAUCGGAAAAAAAAUUUGCGAGACAACAGCGAAUGCGGAACAUGCCAGGCGGUAGGAAGAAGAAAUUAGAACCAUCUUUGAAAUGGAAGAAUCUCUGCCUCACGUCCCCUAGGAACAGUUGGAGAGAGAUAAAGAGCAGCCAGAAUGGCAGUUGAGGGAGAGAGACCUGAGUCUUACAAAGACAUGGACUGCAGUGGCAGAGAGUGUUUUCAUUUGUGUUUUGGAGCUAUUGAGUUUUGUUUGACUUAAUGUUGAAAAGCGGUACAGAAUAAGUCACCCUCAAGUGUGUAAACUGGUUCCCGCUUCCUCAUUUUCCCCUGAACUGACCUGAGAGCUGUCACUGGUGUCGAAACUCGGGAAGCGGAAGGAAUCGCCGUUAUGGAGUGCUCGCCACUGGCCAAGGUGAUCAAGAACCUCACUGGCAUCUACCAAACUCAGCACCAGGCCCUCCUGGACCUGCGCACAGAGCAAGAGCAGUGAUUCCAGGUGCUCCUUCAGGCCCAAGCUGAGGACCGGCAGGUGUUACGAAGCUUAGUACCCCUGGGGGAAACUUCAGCUGCGACCCCUGCCACAGCUUCGGCCAUUCGCCAUGUCACACUCUUCAAGAAGGGCCCGCAGGACAACCUGGAGGCCUUUAUCAAAUUCUUCGAGCGGAUGGCCAACUCCUGGGGAUGACCAGUGGACUUUUGCCAUUGUUGACCAGGGAGGCUCAACUCGUGGCCCAACAGCUUCCAGUGACAGACCUCCUGGAAUGUGAGAACUUCCGACGAGUGGGUCAGCUGCAGCCCAGAACAGCAUCACCUGCACUUCUGCUCAUGAAUGCUAGGCGAGCUCGGUCACCUGUUUGCAUUUGCUCAACAGAUCUGUGACUCCUGCUGGUGGUGGCUGCUGGAAGCAGGACACGAUGCCGUGGCAGUGAUCGAUCUGGUGGUGCUGGAGCAAAUCAUCUCUCGACUG